ensembl:lncRNA
ACCAUUGGCAGUGAUGACAUCACUACUGGCAGUGAUGACAAUAAUAACCAAAGCACCACUGUUUGCGUACCCACCAUGAACCAGGCACUUGCUCUGAUCGUCUGCAUCCUUGUUACUAAAAUCACCUGGAAGCUAAUUACAAAUAAAGGCACUCAGGCCCUACCCCAGCCUUGCUGAGUCAGAAUCUCCAUUUUUCACAAGGUCCUCAGGCUGCCCCUCAGAAGGACACAGGAGGCUCCCUGCAAGCAGGAGGAGUUACUCGAGGCUUGCUCUGGACCUCAGCCUUGCCCCUUUCUCCUGCACCCCAAGUGGGGCUUCCCUGAACUUGGGCACAGCAGCCCCUUGAGGGAGGCGCUUGGGAGGGCAGUGCUCAGAGGGAAACAAGGAUGCUCUCUCACCUGCUGCUCCAGCUUGGUCCUCCUGACACUCAUAGGCAGCCAAAGACAUUCUCUCCCCUGCCCAGGAAUGUGGCACCCACUCCCUCCUUCAGGAACCCCACGAAGCCACGCGGCCUAUGCCAGCAGCAUCUUGGCCCGUGGGGCUGUGGCCCACGCCGUGUCUCAUUCCAAACUCCUCAAUCUCUCCCAUUAGCUGAGAUUGCAGGUUCAGAGCACAAACAUCGCCACCUGUCACUGCAGCCGCAACUCCUCCGCCAGCCGGGAAUGGUCUCGUCUCCUUCAAUCCAUCACGGAGGGUUUCUAUCGCUCUCCCUCUGUGAGCCCUUCCCCCAGCGCCUGGCCCAGGGGAGUUGCUUCGCUGCCAGGUGGGAGGAGAGAGGCGGCAGGAAGCCCAGGGCAGGGACCUCUCAGGCCUUGAGCCUGGUAGUACCUGGAGAACCCAGCCCCGACCAGAGAGCACACCUGCUUCAGACCCAGAGGAAGCAAAUGAGGUGGUGGGAACAGAGGGGUUAGUUGCUCAGUUGUGUCCGACUCUGCAACCCCAUGGACUGUAGCCAGCCAGGCUCCUCUGUCCAUGGGGAUUCUCCAGGCCAGAAUACUGGAGUGGGUUGCUAUGCCUUCCUUCCGGGGAUCUUCCUGAUCCAGGGAUUGAACCUGAGUCUCCUGCAUUGCGGGCAGACUCUUUACCAUCUGAGCCAGCGAAGCCCCCAGCAGGAGCAGAGGGCUUCCCUAACACUCCCCAGGCGUGGGAUGUACACUUGCUGCCCUUGGAGAUGAAGUCACUGUAAUCUGGGGGCCUCAUCCCUGGGCUUUCUGACUCCGGGUAUCUGGGGCAGAGCCUGAGAACCUGCAUUUUUUAACAGAGCUGCUCCAUGUGAUUCUGAGGCCAUAGGUCCCUGGAUCCCAACGUUGAGCAACUUGGUUGAUGGAGCCUCUUAUCAGUAGGUUAGGCCGGAUGGUGCUGUUGUAACAAACAACCCCCACACCCUCAGGGGCUUAAUACUAUAACGAUUCAUUUCUUGCAUCUCCAUGCCCAAAGCUAGCUGGCUGGAGGUUUCUUUCACUGAGGUUAUUCAGAAACCCAUCUGAGGAAACUCGUCUAGACCAGAUUUCUGUGAUUGCGGUGAGGAGCACAGCUGGGGGGUCCAGCGGACAAGUGCUCAAGCCUGAAAGUGACACAGAGCACUCCUGCCCACAACCCACUGGCCAGAACUAAUGCUAGCUAGCACCCUGCCCAGCUUUGAGAGGAUGGGGAGAAGUAACCACCCCCCGCCACGUGUGCCAGGGGAGAGAGAGAGGAGUGGGAUACGGGGGAACCAUCUGGGCAUUCCCCCUGGACGGCACUGAGGCUGAAAGCCCAGCCCCCGCCUCUGACGCCUGACCCACUGGCUGCAGCCCAGAAGACACGAAGGAAAGCACGAGAGAUGAAGACAUGGAGGCACAUAUGGGGAAAGUACCAGAGCCAAGAUUCAAGUCAAGAUCAGUGUCAUCCAAAGCCCACCCCUUUCUAUUGUGCCUCACCCUCCCUCAGCCUGGACCUCACCAGGGGACUUCUCAGGACACUGUUGAAGAACUUGACAGGAAGACCCUCAAAGGUCCUGAUGUCUGAGUCUUCUCUACAACAUCCAGCUUCAGGAGGGAUGCCUCCAAUGGCAGAAACCCACUGCCUCUAUCACCACAUCCCAUUCCAAUCUGUAGCAUCCAUUAGUCACAGAAAAUUCCUCUUUAUGCUAAGCUGUCAUCUGCCUCCAAUGAACUUUGAACUAUCAAGUCUGGCUUUCUUCCUAGAGUCAUAUGAGAUAACUCCAUGGAGCCUUCUUACGAUAUCUUUGACGAUUAAAAACUCUUCUAAGAAAGCUCCUGCAACUUGCAGAGGGAUUCCCUCUGGUUAUUGCAUGAGAACUGGUCAGAACAUGUGUGAGAAGCUACUAGAGGUUGAGAAAGAACCACUGCAAAGCAGUAAGUCCAACAGCUUCUCAACUUCACACCCGACUGGAACUAGUUUGUGUUCCUGCCAGCCCCAAUGGAAAGACCUCAUAAUAAACUGGGCGUGGGGUAAAAUCCCUGGAAGUGGGGACAUGUUAGAUCUAGAUGACAGACUAUUCUGGAUCAGCAUAAUAAAGCACAGAAGUGAUGACACCUCCUGGAUGAAUGAUUGCAGGGAAGAAAAGGGGAGUUGAGGACCAGGGUCAGGGCUUGAAGUAUAGCUUCCUGUUCACUACACACCUUUUUUCACUGUUUGGAAUUUUUUUUUUUUUUUUUUUGGCUUUGUCCACCUCACAAAGCCUCCAAAAAUUAUGAGCAGCACAGCCUAUAUUUCUUCCGAGGCUUGGAAUUUUUACUGUGUGUAUAUAUUC